rnacentral:lncRNA from 1 species
AUGAUUGAAAGGAACAGAAGAACAGCGAAAUAUUUUUGGUGUUGUAUCAAGUGCAGGACAAUUUUGCCCCUGAAUACAUAAAUAAUAAGGACAAAAACGAAAAAAAAAAAAAAAAAAAAAACUUGUUUGUUUUGUUGUUGUUAAUCACGAUGAUGUUGCUGAUCGUUGGCUGUCUUCUUGCUUCGUCGAUGGCAGAUAACGAGGGAGGGGAUGAAACAGAAUGUAGGGCGACGUGUUUUUGAAUGGCUUUUCUCGGUUCAUCAAAUAGAAAUCAAGGACCGAAUCCUUUAUUUUUUUUUGGACCGAGUCCUUAUGUCUAUAAUUCCUAUCAAACAUGCUAAUUGGUAUUUUAUAGACCCAAUCCCUCUUUGGACCCAAUUAGAUACCUUAUCAAACGACCCCUAAUAUAAAUAAGACAAAAUUAAAUAUAUGGUUUUUGUUAAAAAAAAAAUUAAUGGUCUAUCAGCCGUUCAAUUUUGAAUAAAUAAGACAAAAUUAAAUAUGUGGUUUUAACGAUAAUGACUUAAAAGGGUAAUAUAUUUUUUGAAUUUUGUACACAUUUAGUCCUUAAUAUUUUUGUACAUAUUUAGUCUUUAACAUUUUUUUUGUUUCAAUUAAGUUCUUUUUUUAUACUCAUUCAGUACUUAUAAAUGAUUUCUUAAUAUUUUUAUUAUGACAUCUUACAUGAGACAAUUACUGAUGAGUUGUUUGGGGUUGUUGAUGUUUAUGUCCAACGUGAUUUCGACUGUUUGGUUGCGUAUGUCUUGUGGUUUGGCUUGAUUCUUAUAUUCUGAAUGUCGUAACUUCUUCAUACGAUAACAUAUUUAAGGAUCUUUAUAUCCGCAUUUUCAUUUUUUCAUUAAGAUUAUUCCCGUUAAAAUGUAAUAUAUUUUUACUUACGAUUUUAUAAAAAAAACAUCCAUACAUGCAUUCAUAAAAAAAACGUAUGGACAUGGGCAAACGCAGGAAUACAUUGUUGGUAUUGCCGAGAUGAAAUAGGUGUUGCUAAUACAUGAAAAAUAACUAUAAACGAAAAAAAUUGAAAUUCCGAGAUCAUAUGGAUAUAAAGAUCGUUCGCGUGGAUAUAAAGAUCGUUCGCGUGGAUAUAAAGAUCGUUAAAAUCCGAGAUCGUAUGAAGAAGUUAUGACAUUCAAAACGCAUGACCUAAGCAACCAAGUAGUUGAGAUCGCGAUGGACGUAAGCAUCAAAAUGUCCAAACACUUCAAUAAUGAAUUUCCCACGUAAGAUUUCAUGAGAAAAAACCAAAGAAAUAAUUCAUAAGUAUUUAAUGAGUACAAAAACAAAAAUGCCUUAUUUUGUAAAAAAUUAUAUAUUAAGGACUAAAUGUGUACAAAAAUAUUAAGGAAUAAAUGUGUACAAAGUGAGAAAUAUAUUACCCUAUUAAGUCAUUUUUACCGGCUAACCUGAUUUAGCCGGUUAUAAGGAUUGAAUGUGUACAGUUUAACAAGUUGAAAGGGUAAAUAUGAAUGAAAAAAAAAUCAGUGACUAAAUGUGUACAAAUCAAAAAAUAUGUUACCCUUUUAAGUCAUUAUCCCUGGUUUCAAUUCAUAUCCAAUCUUAAAUGACAGAAUAUACUUUUAAAUAACUUUUUUUUUUAAAUUUCUUUUCAUUAUGUUCUUAUUAUUUUAUAUAAAAAACAAAAAAAAAUCCCACCACUCCAUUCCUCAUCCACCACAAUUAAUCUUUUUCAUUGAGUUCAAUUUGGGACAUAAGGAUUUUAAAAGAAAAAACUUUGUUUGGCUUGAAAAAACUUUGUUUGGCUUCCUUACAUGAAGGGAGAGGCAUGGGCGACAUGAUGUUGAGAAUCGCAACUCUGCACUCAUCAUUGGCGUUGGGAAGAGAAUUUGUCGAUGGGUUGAAAGGAGAUGAGAGAAGUUGUGGAGGAGAUUAUCAACAGUAGAAGGUGAAUGUAGAUUCACCGAUGAUGUUGGAGGGUUUUCUGAUGAAGGUUGUAAUUGGGAUGAGACAUAUAAAUGAAUGGGGGAAGGGAAAAGGAGUGGGGUAUGGGUUUUUUUUUUUGAAAAUAUUAAAAUAGAUAAUAAAGAAGGAAAAAACAAAUUAUAAGAGCAUAAUAGCAUUUUUGAAGUUGAUAGGGACUAAAAUCACUAAAAUAUCAAAAAAUAGACCACUGAUAUACUACUAAACGUUUUUUUUUUUUUGACAAAAGCCACAUAUUUUUUACAUCCACAUGAAACAUUUUUUUUUGCAAUUUUUCUAUAAAUAAUCAAGGAUGUUCUUGAGUUGGUGGGAAAUGAAAUGGAAUACAGGAAUUUAAUAAGUUAGCUUAAUUUUCGAGUUUUUUUUAUUAAAUUGUCAUGUUUGAGAAGCGAAAAAGUCGUUUAUAAGCCAACUUUAUAAAAAACUUAGUUUUCAAUAUUUUUUUUUAAUUUUCCAUAUAUACCCUUAAUUAAUUAUGAAAAAACAUAUUUUUUUUUAUAUGUCAUUUGAUUUCAUUAUAUUUUUUCAGCUAGUAUGUCGGUUAGUUUUUAUCAAAUGUUAUUUUGUUAGCCAACUUAUAAGUUAUCAACAAAAUUUUCAGCUAACAAUUAUUUUGCCAGCUACUACAUCAAAUAUUAAACAUCUUAAUGAGGUAAGUAUCAUAACCCCACCAAAUCAUGUAAUCCCACUUAUUUACUCUAAAUCCUGUCUUGUAAUAUAAUAAAGUGAAUGUAAUGCUUUUUAAAUUCACAUAUAUUGUUUAUGUCACACUCGAACUUUCAAAAACAAAUACAAAUAUCUCAAAACACAAAAGAUACAUCAAUAAACAAAUCAUCACCAUCAACUUAACAAAUAAUGAUACAACGGUAACUUAAAAAUACUUAAAAAUUACAAUUUAAAUUUUCUAAAAGUUAUAACAAAUGGUAGGGGUGACAAAUCGGGCCAUCGUGUCGUGUUUUUGUCUGACACGACAUGACAGGAUAAGAUUUUAUAUAACACGAACACGACACGACACGNUCAUUAUCCCUGGUUUCAAUUCAUAUCCAAUCUUAAAUGACAGAAUAUACUUUUAAAUAACUUUUUUUUUUAAAUUUCUUUUCAUUAUGUUCUUAUUAUUUUAUAUAAAAAACAAAAAAAAAUCCCACCACUCCAUUCCUCAUCCACCACAAUUAAUCUUUUUCAUUGAGUUCAAUUUGGGACAUAAGGAUUUUAAAAGAAAAAACUUUGUUUGGCUUGAAAAAACUUUGUUUGGCUUCCUUACAUGAAGGGAGAGGCAUGGGCGACAUGAUGUUGAGAAUCGCAACUCUGCACUCAUCAUUGGCGUUGGGAAGAGAAUUUGUCGAUGGGUUGAAAGGAGAUGAGAGAAGUUGUGGAGGAGAUUAUCAACAGUAGAAGGUGAAUGUAGAUUCACC